rnacentral:rRNA from 1 species
AUUGAACGCUGGCGGCAGGCCUAAUACAUGCAAGUCGAGCGGAUGAAGGGAGCUUGCUCCUGGAUUCAGCGGCGGACGGGUGAGUAAUGCCUAGGAAUCUGCCUGGUAGUGGGGGAUAACGUCCGGAAACGGGCGCUAAUACCGCAUACGUCCUGAGGGAGAAAGUGGGGGAUCUUCGGACCUCACGCUAUCAGAUGAGCCUAGGUCGGAUUAGCUAGUUGGUGGGGUAAAGGCCUACCAAGGCGACGAUCCGUAACUGGUCUGAGAGGAUGAUCAGUCACACUGGAACUGAGACACGGUCCAGACUCCUACGGGAGGCAGCAGUGGGGAAUAUUGGACAAAGGGCGAAAGCCUGAUCCAGCCAUGCCGCGUGUGUGAAGAAGGUCUUCGGAUUGUAAAGCACUUUAAGUUGGGAGGAAGGGCAGUAAGUUAAUACCUUGCUGUUUUGACGUUACCAACAGAAUAAGCACCGGCUAACUUCGUG